ACGGGAGUGGCAAGCGUUAUCCGGAAUUAUUGGGCGUAAAGCGUCCGCAGGCGGCCUCGUAAGUCUGUCGUUAAAGCGUGGAGCUUAACUCCAUUUCGGCGAUGGAAACUGUGAGGCUUGAGUGUGGUAGGGGCAGAGGGAAUUCCCGGUGUAGCGGUGAAAUGCGUAGAUAUCGGGAAGAACACCAGUGGCGAAGGCGCUCUGCUGGGCCAUAACUGACGCUCAUGGACGAAAGCCAGGGGAGCGAAAGGGAUUAGAUACCCCUGUAGUCCUGGCCGUAAACGAUGAACACUASGUGUCGGGGGAAUCGACCCCCUCGGUGUCGUAGCCAACGCGUUAAGUGUUCCGCCUGGGGAGUACGCACGCAAGUGUGAAACUCAAAGGAAUUGACGGGGGCCCGCACAAGCGGUGGAGUAUGUGGUUUAAUUCGAUGCAACGCGAAGAACCUU
rnacentral:rRNA from 1 species